rnacentral:rRNA from 1 species
AGUGAACGCUGGCGGUAGGCCUAACACAUGCAAGUCGAACGGCAGCACAGUAAGAGCUUGCUCUUACGGGUGGCGAGUGGCGGACGGGUGAGGAAUACAUCGGAAUCUACUUUUUCGUGGGGGAUAACGUAGGGAAACUUACGCUAAUACCGCAUACGACCUACGGGUGAAAGCAGGGGAUCUUCGGACCUUGCGCGAUUGAAUGAGCCGAUGUCGGAUUAGCUAGUUGGCGGGGUAAAGGCCCACCAAGGCGACGAUCCGUAGCUGGUCUGAGAGGAUGAUCAGCCACACUGGAACUGAGACACGGUCCAGACUCCUACGGGAGGCAGCAGUGGGGAAUAUUGUGCAAUGGGCGCAAGCCUGAUCCAGCCAUGCCGCGUGGGUGAAGAAGGCCUUCGGGUUGUAAAGCCCUUUUGUUGGGAAAGAAAAGCAGCAGGUUAAUACCCCGCUGUUCUGACGGUACCCAAAGAAUAAGCACCGGCUAACUUCGUG